UAGGGAAUCUUCGGCAAUGGGGGGAACCCUGACCGAGCAACGCCGCGUGAGUGAAGAAGGUUUUCGGAUCGUAAAGCUCUGUUGUUAAGGAAGAACGUGUGUGAGAGUGGAAAGUUCACACAGUGACGGUACUUAACCAGAAAGGGACGGCUAACUACGUGCCAGCAGCCGCGGUAAUACGUAGGUCCCGAGCGUUGUCCGGAUUUAUUGGGCGUAAAGCGAGCGCAGGCGGUUAGAUAAGUCUGAAGUGAAAGGCAGUGGCUCAACCAUUGUAGGCUUUGGAAACUGUCAAACUUGAGUGCAGAAGGGGAGAGUGGAAUUCCAUGUGCAGCGGUGAAAUGCGUAGAUAUAUGGAGGAACACCGGUGGCGAAAGCGGCUCUCUGGUCUGUAACUGACGCUGAGGCUCGAAAGCGUGGGGAGCGAACAGGAUUAGAUACCCUGGUAGUCCACGCCGUNNCGAUGAGUGCUAGGUGUUGGAUCCUUUCCGGGAUUCAGUGCCGCAGCUNACGCAUUAAGCACUCCGCCUGGGGAGUACNACCGCAAGGNU
rnacentral:rRNA from 1 species